AAGACAUUUCUUCUGCUGUAACUGGUAAUAUUUUUAUUAGUGAAGAUGCAAAUAUCCAAAUUUUAGGGAUGCUAUAUAAGUUAUUUUCUCAAUCGAGUGUUGAGCCAUGCUAGACUAUAAUUUGCUUUUCUGGAUGUUAUUAGUUACUAGAUUUUUUUUUAAUCUAAUUGGUCGCCAUUCUAUAUGUUGAGGACCCACCCAUCCUAGAGCUGUGAUUGGAGAGAGGGGUCCUUGCAAUUUUACAUAACACACACUUAUGAUGGUUGUCUGAUAUUUAGAAAUUAUACUAGGUGAAGCUAUCAGAUUCGGGGUUUUGGAAUUAAGUUGAUGUCUGAACUCUGAAUUAAUUUUGGGAAAGGUCAAUUUGUUUAAAGUUCAUUGGGUGUUUCUACCUUUUUUUUAAUGAUGUAGACAUCAU
rnacentral:misc_RNA from 1 species